rnacentral:rRNA from 1 species
UACGAAGGGGGCUAGCGUUGCUCGGAAUCACUGGGCGUAAAGGGUGCGUAGGCGGGUCUUUAAGUCAGGGGGGAAAUCCUGGAGCUCAACUCCAGAACUGCCUUUGAUACUGAGGAUCUUGAGUUCGGGAGAGGUGAGUGGAACUGCGAGUGUAGAGGUGAAAUUCGUAGAUAUUCGGAAGAACACCAGUGGCGAAGGCGGCUCACUGGACCGGUAUUGACGCUGAGGUGCGAAAGCGUGGGGAGCAAACAGG